CUGCCAUUGAUACUGCAGGUCUUGAGUGUUGUUGAAGUAGCUGGAAUAAGUAGUGUAGCGGUGAAAUGCAUAGAUAUUACUUAGAACACCAAUUGCGAAGGCAGGUUACUAAGCAACAACUGACGCUGAUGGACGAAAGCGUGGGGAGCGAACAGGAUUAGAUACCCUGGUAGUCCACGCCGUAAACGAUGCUAACUCGUUUUUGGGGCGUAAGCUUCAGAGACUAAGCGAAAGUGAUAAGUUAGCCACCUGGGGAGUACGAACGCAAGUUUGAAACUCAAAGGAAUUGACGGGGGCCCGCCCAAGCGGUGGAUUAUGUGGUUUAAUUCGAUGAUACGCGAGGAACCUUACCAAGGCUUAAAUGGGAAAUGACAGGUUUAGAAAUAGACUUUUCUUCGGACAUUUUUCAAGGUGCUGCAUGGUUGUCGUCAGCUCGUGCCGUGAGGUGUUAGGUUAAGUCCUGCAACGAGCGCAACCCCUGUCACUAGUUGCCAUCAUUAAGUUGGGGACUCUAGUGAGACUGCCUACGCAAGUAGAGAGGAAGGUGGGGAUGACGUCAAAUCAUCACGGCCCUUACGCCUUGGGCCACACACGUAAUACAAUGGCCGGUACAGAGGGCAGCUACACAGCGAUGUGAUGCAAAUCUCGAAAGCCGGUCUCAGUUCGGAUUGGAGUCUGCAACUCGACUCUAUGAAGCUGGAAUCGCUAGUAAUCGCGCA
rnacentral:rRNA from 1 species